AGUGAACGCUGGCGGUAGGCCUAACACAUGCAAGUCGAACGGCAGCACAGUAAGAGCUUGCUCUUACGGGUGGCGAGUGGCGGACGGGUGAGGAAUACAUCGGAAUCUACUUUUUCGUGGGGGAUAACGUCGGGAAACUUACGCUAAUACCGCAUACGACCUACGGGUGAAAGCAGGGGAUCUUCGGACCUUGCGCGAUUGAAUGAGCCGAUGUCGGAUUAGCUAGUUGGCGGGGUAAAGGCCCACCAAGGCGACGAUCCGUAGCUGGUCUGAGAGGAUGAUCAGCCACACUGGAACUGAGACACGGUCCAGACUCCUACGGGAGGCAGCAGUGGGGAAGAGUGGACAAUGGGCGCAAGCCUGAUCCAGCCAUACCGCGUGGGUGAAGAAGGCCUUCGGGUUGUAAAGCCCUUUUGUUGGGAAAGAAAAGCAGCAGGUUAAUACCCCGCUGUUCUGACGGUACCCAAAGAAUAAGCACCGGCUAACUUCGUG
rnacentral:rRNA from 1 species